GCCACGGCCACGGCUGCCGCGCCCGUCAGCGGUGACACGAGUGACUCCAGCCGAGGGGCCGCGGAUGACCAGGCCAGCGAGGGCGGCAUGGAGAUGAUGAGCGUUUGCGGCGGGAACGACGACGAGGGCAGCAGGACGGAGAACGAUAGAAGCGAGGAUGAUCGAGCUCCUGACGACGACCGGGUCGACACUAGCAGCGAAACCGGCGGCCUGGUCCCUUACGUCCCCACGAGGCGCAGCAAGGGGGGUGAGCGAGCCGUGAAGGACCAAGCCUACUGGGAAAGGCGGCGCAAGAACAACGAGGCGGCCAAGCGAUCCAGGGACGCCCGCCGAGCCAAGGAGGAGGAAAUAGCCAUCCGCGGGGCCUUCUUGGAGCAGGAAAACAUGAAACUGCGCGCCGAGCUAUCCACGCUCAAGUCCGAGACGGCGAAGUUACGUUGUCUAUUGUAUAACAGCUGAAUAGAGGGUGGAUUUUCUCUGUGUCUGUCUGUCACUCUAUCUAUCUCUUAUUUUUUUAUUUCUCUCUCUCUCUCUCUCUCUCUCUCUCUCUCUCUCUCUCUCUCUCUCUCUCUCUCUCUCUCUCUCUCUCUCUCUCUCUCUCUCUCU